GGGGACCUUCGGGGCCCUAUAGCUAAACAGCCGGGCCCAAACCGCCCGCAAAGCAACGGAAGACAGAAA
rfam:Loktanella marina strain CECT 8899 genome assembly, contig: 0001